rnacentral:rRNA from 1 species
UACGAAGGGGGCUAGCGUUGCUCGGAAUCACUGGGCGUAAAGGGCGCGUAGGCGGCCGAAUUAAGUCGGGGGUGGAAAGCCUGUGGCUCAACCACAGAAUUGCCUUCGAUACUGGUUGGCUUGAGACCGGAAGAGGACAGCGGAACUGCGAGUGUAGAGGUGAAAUUCGUAGAUAUCGAGAGGAACACCGGUGGCGGAAGGCGGCCAACUGGGACAAGAUACUGACGCUGAGGUGACGAAAGGCGUGGGGAG